CGGGUUCUGCCCCUCUCGUGUGUGGCUCUUUUCCAGUGGCCGAUAAGCACUUCCGAGGGAGCUGGCUCUGCCAAGGCCCUGGCCUUGGUAUCUGGCGCCCACCUGACACGUCAGGCUCUCGGGAAAUUCACGCCUCCACGGUUGCCGCGGAUCUCGC
rnacentral:other from 1 species